AACGAACGCUGGCGGCAUGCCUAACACAUGCAAGUCGAACGAGACCUUCGGGUCUAGUGGCGCACGGGUGCGUAACGCGUGGGAACCUGCCCUUAGGUUCGGAAUAACUCCCCGAAAGGGGUGCUAAUACCGGAUAAUGUCUUCGGACCAAAGAUUUAUCGCCUUUGGAUGGGCCCGCGUUGGAUUAGCUAGUUGGUAGGGUAAAAGCCUACCAAGGCGACGAUCCAUAGCUGGUCUGAGAGGAUGAUCAGCCACACUGGGACUGAGACACGGCCCAGACUCCUACGGGAUGCAGCAGUGGGUAAUAUUGGACAAUGGGCGAAAUCCUGAUCCAGCAAUGCCUCGUGAGUGAUGAAGGCCUUAGGGUUGUAAAGCUCUUUUACCCGGGAUGAUAAUGACAGUACCGGGAGAAUAAGCUCCGGCUAACUCCGUG
rnacentral:rRNA from 1 species